CAGAAAUCCAACCAGCUCGGCCCAACUGCACCAAACUUACUUAUCGGUAGCCGCGCGGUGCGUGCGCUUUAUUCCUAGACUUUUGGGGUAAUUAUUAUGAUUUUUUUCCCCUAUUUUUUUUUUUAACGGGAAGGCCCCCGCGGGCUCCCCGCCCGCCGCCCCGCCGGCAGGGGCCCGGAGGAGCGAAGGAGUUAAAGGGAGGCGCUUGGGAAAUCCGAUGCUGAGGAGCCCCAGGAAUGCUGCUGCCCCUUCCCACUCCCCUCCGGCUCUCGGAGCGGCUCAGUCCCCGCCGCCGAGCCCCGAGGCCGCGCACGCUCUCUCCGGGCUCUGCCCCGCAGGUUCCUCAACCGGGAGAUACCGUGAGGGGGGUGGCGAAGCGGGUUCAAAACUUAUUUUAUUUUUUCUUUCUGGCUACUUUUUUAUUUUUAUUUUUUUUUCCCUCGCAGGCGCUGCCGGAGAUGCCGGGCAGAAGGCGGUGGUGGGCACGCUGCUGGCUGGGCGUCUGCCUUUCGCUGCUGGGCGCCGGGGGCUGCAGCGGAGGCGGCGGCGGCGGCGGUGGCUCCGAGCCCUGCCGCCUGCCCCCGUGCCCUGCCGAGGCUCCCCCGCCGCCCUGCCGCGGGGCUCGCUGCGGAGCCCGUGCCGGCCGGCCCGCCCGCUCCUUCCCGCACACCGCCACGCCGCUGCGGGCCCCGCAGGGCAAGCCGCAACCCCCCGCAGCCAGAGGGGGUCCUCCGGAGGCUUGUCCGGCCGGGGGCUGCUCCUCCAACGGCACCCGCCGCGAUUGCCAGGGCUUGGAGUGCCGCCUGCCCCCCCGCCUGCGGCCGAGACCCCGCGGCACCGGCGGCUGCGGCGCCUCCGCCCCCGGCGAGGGCUGCCCCGAGCCCGCCCUGCUCCGAGCCGCCGAGCGGGCAGCGCAGUUCGCCGGGGAUGAUUUCGCCUACGGGGGGCCCGAGCUGGGCGGAGGAGGCGCCCUGGGGGUGCAGCUGGCCUGCGACGUGAAGCCAGGAGAAAACGAAGUUCCGUCUGAAGACGCCCUAAUACUACAGCUGCACCUUGCAAAAGGACACGAGAAAUUUACUGAAAUGCUAAAGAGCCAGCAGCAAAUCAUUGUGGAUUUGCAGCAAAAACUUGCUGAACAGCAGCACAUACUGGUUAGCCAGCAAAAGGAGAUUCUUGAACAGCAAAGAAAAAUGUAUGAGCAAAUGGAUCUGAUCAAAGUCCAGUAUGGCAUGCUUUUUGACACAGUGAAACAAAUGUCAUUUCAGAGUUUGCAAGAAGAUAUUCAAAAUUAUUUUGAAAGUCAUCUUCAAGGACUUCAGAACCAGGUCAGGAAUCAUCUGCAGAAGUCAUAUUCUGUCCAUAAAGUAGAAGUGGAUGCAAAAGUGAUAAAUGUAGGGGAGUCUUUGCUGGACUGUGGUCUUUGUGAAAGUGAUGAAUUUUGCAAUUUCCAAAAGACACCUUCACAAUGUGAAAAAUGCACAUUGUGUCCUGCUGGUUUUUUCCAAAUGGCUGAGUGUUCUGCAAACUCUGAUCGGAUUUGCCAGGACAGAGAUGAAUGUACUGAAUCUCCAAGCAUUUGCGGUGAGAGGAUAAAGUGUCUGAAUACUCCAGGUGGCUUCCGAUGCCUUGGAAUUGCUGAGAAAGAUGCCGCUUUGGGAUUGUGUGGCGAGGAGUAUUUCUUUAAUAAGGAAAUGCAGGAAUGCCAGGCGUGUUUGAAAUGUGAAGAUGGAAUGGUGGCCAUGCCUUGCUCCACUGUCAGUGAUACAGUUUGCUCAGCAACCACUGAAAACAAGCUCUCAGAGUCUUGGGCUGCAAACAUCGUUUUACCAUCUGUAAAGUCUGGCAUCUCUCAGGUCUACUCUGGUUUGAACUUGAAAAUAAGGGAAAAGCUUCACCGUGAAAUCCUGUCCAUUGAAGAUACCAGCCUGGUAUUCAGGCAACAUGGUUUGUUGUGGACUGACCUAAAUUUUGCAGUAAAACACAACUGCAGGAAUUUUUUGCAACUUUCCUUAAAGCUAAAUGGCAGUGAGGAAGGCUAUGAACUGAGUGGUGUUCGCAUUGAACAACCAGAAGGAAAAUAUUUCCAGAGCACUAGUUUAAGCAGUGCUGCUGAAGUGGAACCCAGCCAAACUCUUUCUGUGUUUUUAAGGAGCCCAAAUCAGUUCUGCAAUCAAAGUAAAGACUUACAUAUUUAUGAUCUUAACACACCACUAAGUUUGUUUUGGUUGUCUCAUGACACGGGUGCUGUGGCAAUCAGUGCACAGAUGUCAACAGCAAUGCAUUACCAAACCAACUAUCGGCCUACCUUUAAAAUAAUUUCUGUUUCCGACCCUUACAUGCUAAGUUUAUCUCAUGAUGGCAGAGCUAUAAAGUUCACUGAAACCGGUGUUGUCAAAUUUGUGUUCCACCAAGCAUUGUAUUCCAUGGGUCAUACAUGUGUCCGGGAGGGUUUCUCCUUAAUUUCUUACAUAAACAGGAAUGGCACCAACAGAGAAUUAAUGAAUGUAUUUAAAUCUGGGGUAAACUACAGAGACACGUCAAUAUCUGCUUCUGGGGCCACAAAAGUUGCUGCCGGAGAUCUGAUUAGCUUUGAGAUACUUUCUCCUGCACAAUGUAAUGUUCGGUAUUUUGGAGAUAGUUCUGGAAUUAGCAUUUUUAGCCUCAUCUGGAUACCUUCAGCAGUUUCUAGUGCCAUAUCAGCCACAGUUUCUGUUACGGGUCUGCCUACUGGAGCUGUGAGAAACAAAUUACUGGAUUUCACCCAGGUUUCAUCCAGUGAGAAACAGAUACAGCUGGUUUCUUCUGGACAGCUUGCUCAGAAGUACUUCAUUUUUACUGAAAAGGGAGUUGCCAGCCUUGCAUUUAACUUAAAGCUAAUCCAUUCAUGCAACAUGCUUAAACUGACUCUCAACCAGUUGACCAUGGAUCACAUGCAACCCACAGCAAUAGCCCAGCAGAUUGGAGGUCAGAUGCCAGAGGGAAGCAUAUGGACCAGUGUGUCUCUCCGUGCAUCUUUUGAAGUACAUAACGGAACGCUGAUAUCAGUUUCUCUUGACUGCGUGCGUGGAAGGAUCAAUCAGAUCACUCAUGAACAUGGAACCAGCAUAUCGAUUUUAUGGAUUUCAUCAUAA
rnacentral:lncRNA from 1 species